rnacentral:rRNA from 1 species
UCCGGCCUGAGAGGGGCGCACGGACACACUGGAACUGAAACACGGUCCAGACUCCUACGGGAGGCAGCAGUGGGGAAUUUUGCGCAAUGGGGGAAACCCUGACCGCAGCAACGCCGCGUGGAGGAUGAAGUCCCUUGGGACGUAAACUCCUUUCGAUCGGGACGAUUAUGACGGUACCGGAAGAAGAAGCCCCGGCUAACUUCGUGCCAGCAGCCGCGGUAAUACGAGGGGGGCGAGCGUUGUUCGGAAUUAUUGGGCGUAAAGGGCGCGUAGGCGGUUGGAUAAGUCUCGUGUGAAAUCUUCGGGCUCAACUCGAAGUCUGCACGAGAAACUAUCCGGCUAGAGUGUGGGAGAGGUGAGUGGAAUUCCUGGUGUAGCGGUGAAAUGCGUAGAUAUCAGGAGGAACACCUGUGGCGAAAGCGGCUCACUGGACCACAACUGACGCUGAGGCGCGAAAGCUAGGGGAGCAAACAGGAUUAGAUACCCUGGUAGUCCUAGCCCUAAACGAUGAUCGCUUGGUGUGACGGGUACCCAAUCCCGCCGUGCCGAAGCUAACGCGUUAAGCGAUCCGCCUGGGGAGUAUGGUCGCAAGGCUGAAACUCAAAGGAAUUGACGGGGGCCCGCACAAGCGGUGGUAGCAUGUGGUUUAAUUCGACGCAACGCGAAGAACCUUACCUGGGCUCGAAAUGUAGUGGAAUCCGGUGGAAACAUCGGCGCCCAGCAAUGGGCCGCUAUAUAGGUGCUGCAUGGCUGUC